rnacentral:rRNA from 1 species
GACGAACGCUGGCGGCGUGCCUAAUACAUGCAAGUCGAGCGAAGUUUUUCUGGUGCUUGCACUAGAAACACUUAGCGGCGAACGGGUGAGUAACACGUAAAGAACCUGCCUCAUAGACUGGGACAACUAUUGGAAACGAUAGCUAAUACCGGAUAACAGCAUUAACUGCAUGGUUGAUGUUUAAAAGUUGGUUUUGCUAACACUAUGAGAUGGCUUUGCGGUGCAUUAGCUAGUUGGUGGGGUAAAGGCCUACCAAGGCGACGAUGCAUAGCCGACCUGAGAGGGUGAUCGGCCACACUGGGACUGAGACACGGCCCAGACUCCUACGGGAGGCAGCAGUAGGGAAUCUUCCGCAAUGGGCGAAAGCCUGACGGAGCAACGCCGCGUGAGUGAAGAAGGAUUUCGGUUCGUAAAGCUCUGUUGUUAGGGAAGAAUGAUUGUGUAGUAACUAUACACAGUAGAGACGGUACCUAACCAGAAAGCCUCGGCUAACUACGUG